GUCUAUGGCCAUGGCACCCUGAACAGUGUCAGAUCUUGGAAGCUAAGCAGGGUUGGGCCUGGUUAGUACUUGGAUGGGAGACCACCUAGAAAGAUGAGGUCCUGUAGGCA
rnacentral:rRNA from 1 species